rnacentral:lncRNA from 1 species
UGUGAGGUUUUUCUUAAACAGGCAUAGAAUAAAAUUAGAAGGCUAAAUAAAAUCUGCACAUUUCAUGUCAUUGUAGAUCUUACAGUAAAAUUCAAACGUCAUUGAAUAAAUUAAUUUCUGUUCGUCAAAAAAAAAUAAAUAAAUAAAUAAAUAAAUUAUAUAUAUAUGUAUAUGUGUAUAAGCUUGCAAGCACCACUAGCAAAGAAUUCGCAGGAUUAAUAAACUCUGCUGUCUGCUGCUUCUCUCAGUUUGCGGUUGCCGCUUGUCGGUGCAGUACAAAAGGGAUGAAACAUUUUCAAACAAAUAUUAAAGCAUAAUCUCAUUUUUUACCCACAAAAAUAGGCUUUAUACCUUGUCUGUAUUUUAAGGUGUUUUGUGACUUACUUUUAGAUUUCUUCUUUGGCCACGAUUGGUGGAGAGAGUGGAACAUCCUCUCUCGGAUGUUCACAGAAGAAGUGGCCAAGACCAUAAGCUCGAAGGGGGCAAAUGGCAAGAGGGCAUUCAGUCACAUGUCGUCGAAGACACUAAUGUACCGUGCUGUACGUGCAAAUAGUUUGUGUCGCACAGCCACAGACAUUCAACGUUAUGCCAUAAGAUGGUUUAACUUGGCUGCAGACCGUGGUGCGGCAAGGAGGCGCCUGACCAACCGGUCUAACCAGGCUGAGGCAGAUGAUUAGGCUACUUAUGGUCAUGUUUUCUUUUGUUAAAUAAAAUUUUUAUUCGUUUCAAAUUGUUUCAGUUUUAAUUUAAAUAGUCUGUCGCAGGCUACAUGUUGUUUUCCAAUUCAGAGACCAUGCCCUUUACAAAUUCUAUUGGCCUGGAGCCCAGUGUGUUUAAACCCCACCACGAUCAACUGCAAGAUAGAAUACAACCAACUUACUGCUCCUUUUCAAUAAUCCGACUUGCAUUCCAAUACAAAAAAAACUUAUGUUUGCUACUUAUGUCUCAUGUCAACUGUAAAUGGUUACAUACAACUUAACAGAUAUAAAACACAUUCCCAUUUCCCAGAAUUUCAUUAUAAUCAGAAAACAUCUCCUCUUGUAGUACUUACAACUAGUCUUGCUGAUCCUAUCACUUAGAACUGACACUGUUUAAAAACAGCACUCACUGAUGCUCUUUUUGUACUCUACAUUAUAUAUAUAUAUAUAUAUAUAUAUAUAUAUAUAUAUAUAUAUAUAUAUAUAUAUAUAUAUAUAUAUAUAUAUAUAUAUAUAUAUAUAUAUAUAUAUAUAUAUAUAUAUAUAUAUAUAUAUAUAUAUAUAUAUAUAUAAAAUUGUUGAUAGAAUUGCCUUAAAAAGAAAACUGUGUAGGCUAGCAUGUUAGUCGCUUUGGUUAAAAAUGCGUCAGCAAAAUGUAAUGCAGCCUAAUGUAUCACAUACCAAAACCCAGAGACACUAAAAGCCUCGGAUUUCACAGCUAUUUCUUCUCCUGGCAUCUUUAACAAGGCACAGUUCAAUCACGUUCACACACUGG